GUGCACUGAUAUUAAUCAUUUAUAAAAAAAAAAAAGAGAGAGUCUUAUUUGCUAGAAAAAUUCAUAAGUUAUUAUACGUAUUGAACUCAAUGGGUUCAUCACGCUAUUAUUAGUUUGUGUUUUUGAAAUUAGUGGGUGUUGUGGUAGUAGUCUUAUUUGCAACCCUCUUCUUGGCUGAUGAUGCGUAUAUUUGCACAAGAGCAACCUACUAUGGAAGCCCUGAUUGCAAUGGAAAUCCUACUGGAGCGUGUGGAUAUGGAGAAUACGGAAGGACAGUAUACAAUGGGCAGGUCAGUGGAGUCUCGAGACUUUUCAAAAAUGGCUCUGGCUGCGGUGCUUGCUAUCAGAAUAACGACGUGAAUGUAGGAACCGAUGCAAGAGUUGGACUCUUUCUCCGUAAGACAAAAUUGCCCCGCACAGUACACACGGUUCGAUGGCAAAUGUCCCCAAGAUACAACGGUUUUAAUGAGUACGAGACCUUGUACUAGGAACUCGAACUUCCAGCGAACUACAGAAUACUCGGGACUUGAGUAUGAAUUAGAAGAAAGAAUGAGUAAAAUUAAUUAUCUGAAUUAAUUUUGGUGUGUUUAAUCUCAUUCAGCAGGGCUGUAUUUAUAGGAGAAGGAAGGGUGCCAUGAAGAGGUGUCUGCCAGGGGGUGUCUGUUCGAACCAGCCAAUGGUCCGAACCAUCGCAUUGGUUCAGUCAAAGGGUUGCGAGCCAACCACCCCCACCUCACCAGUCUGAUCCAAACGCUUCCUUAUCCGCCACGCGGUGCCACGUCACCCGAGCCACCAUUUCAUUUGUCAAAACUAAAGGCUCCUCAAAGCUCCUCGCGACGACACUCAAUGACGUUGUGCCAGGGCAGAGGAAUCCGCAGAGCAGACCAGAGGAGUCGAGACGCCAGAGGAGUCGAGGCGCCAGCGGAGUCGAGACGCCAGAGGAGUCGUUUCGCCAGAGGAGACUUGAUUCCUCUGCGCCAGAGGAAUCGUUUCGCCAGAUGAGACUUGAUUCCUCUGCGCCAGAUUCCUUAUUUUUUCAAAUUCAAGAUGACACUCCACAUUUUCAUUUUCAAUAGCUAUCUUUUGGCAUUUAAUUGCUCAUUCAAAUUAAGCCAUAUAUUCCAACACAAAGUGUCUAGUUUUUGAAGCAACACACACUAUAAGAAUUUUGUUAUAAAGAUCCAGAAUAUUGGAAAAUAAAGGAGAUCAAGUUAUACAGCAA